AGAUAUUUUUAUUUGUAGGGAAAUUUCAACAAUUACUACACCCGAGGGAAAAAAAUAUCCUGCGCAAUGUUAUGCCCUAAUAACAACCUGCAUCUUACGUCUUUAUAUUUCAUAGUCUGUGCGUGUGUAUGGUAACAAUCAAAAAUUAAAUAAAUACAUAACGUUACCGGCACCAUCAACUACAAACUUGAAAACAUCUUAGAGUGAACUAGAGCAGAACAGCAAAAAGAGCAUAAUCUUCUGCAGUGAAAUGGCAAACAUUUCUGUUGUCCUACUUGACUGCCUUACUUGCCUUUCAUUGGGCCUGAACUGUACGUUUUAGCUCCUGCGUGUCUAAUAAUGCUAAACUCAUAGCCGUUGAGGAGCAAUGCUUUGCGUCACAGGAGGGCAAAGCUACAGAACAGACUACAGUCUGCUCCACCUUUGUCAGAAAUCCAGCCUCCAUCAUCAGGUUGCUAUGGAACAGCAGUGAAGAAAGCACUGACAGUAGCAGAAGAGCUCUAGGUUUUGUGAAGUACAGAACUCCCAUGCUGCCGAAGUAUGGUCCUCAUCAGAGAGAGAAGAUGUGACUGAUGCUCUGGACCUCAUACAAUUUUUUUUAAAGCCACAGUCGGAGCUCAGUUUGUGCCGUAACUGGGUCAUUUUUAGAGUUUUACACCCUCUACAAUCCCAAUCACAGGAGUAUUCAAACUGAGAUUUCGGAUUGGACUACUUUCUGCAGGGAUCACAAUUACUGUAUCAAGCUGAGAAACGGAAACACACCCCACUUCCUUUGUCCCCAUUCCUAACUGCAACCCCAGUGUUGCUUUUCAAAGACAGCGUCCAUUUCUGUGUCUCUGGAAGUUGUCAGCUGAGGCAGUGGAAGAGAUGGGGUCUGACGAUGCUGUGAUCAAGUCUCUACCUGCAGACUGAAAAGUUCCUCUACCCUGGAGCGCUGGAGCUGUACAGAGCAGAAUGCCUUUCUCGGCAAUAAUAACAGCGGUCUGCCCAGCCAAUGGCCAGCCUUGAUUUGAGAAGGAGUUAGUCAUGUGUGAAACACGUAGAUCCAAUAUUAAAAGUCUUGGGUACUGAUGGCAGCAAAAACGGUCUACAUAAAAUGUUGGGUAAGACAAAUCACAUUUUUAUUUACUACUUUGUUGAUGGUUUACUUAGAAAACGGUUUCAUCCAAUUCAUUGUUUUAGUUCUAGUAAUAAUAAAAUAAGUAAAUGCAGUUGUAAAAGUUACUCACAACAGCUGGAGAAUGAAUCCUACUGUUUUUUCCCAAGGUAGAUUCUAUCGAUAUCACUGCUUUCAGAAUGAUUGGUUACAGUGAUAGAUGCCACUGGUACCUGUCUUACAGCAGCUGCAUGCCCACCUCUGCACACACCUGCCCUUUCUCUGGUCUUCCAACAUUUUAUGUGCUUGUUUAAAGGCCAUUUUUGCUGCCAUCAGUACCUGCUGUUCAUAAAGCGGGCAAUUAAAGACCAAAGUACAUGACCCCCAGCAUAAACCACAUAAGAAAUAGUAAAGGGUUAUGGAAAGUGGCAACAAUUGAAAAACAUUAUUACCAUAUGGUAAAUACUAAAUAAACUAGUUAAAGGGAACACAUGUUAAAACAUUUUUGUGGGGCAUUUCCUAAAACAUGAAUCGGUGAUUUUGAUCUGUCUUACAUUCUGUGGAUAGUGCAGAAUCGCAGGUGGGUUGGUCUUCAGGGUCCGGCCAUGUAUUAAUAUUACUUGACAUGAAGAUUUGUGACCUUGAAGAAUUUGACGAGGCAGAAUCGUCUCUCUGCCCCAAUAUUCACCUGCUGCACCGUCUCCUGUCUGGCUAAUAUACAGUAUGCUGAUUUUUCAGGUAUAAAGGAAACAUGGAGGCAGUAUUAAAUAAUUGUAGUUAUGAGAUUUGUGAAAGAAAACUGGGAUCACGUUGAGAAAUGCUCUAUUUCACAAUUCCGUGCCAUCUACUACAUGGAAACUUUUCUUUGCAAUAGAAUCGUUUUAAAAUCCCCCUGACUGAGCCUGGCACAGUGUUGUGCCACUAACCAGAAAACUCAGUCAUAUCUUAAAUAUAUUCCUCCUCGCAAUUUCAUCAUGAAAUGUCCCAGAUCUGGAAACCAGGCAUGCUAUAUCUUGCAUGGUGAUUAACACAACAUUGUCUGUUUUUAUCCAGAGAAUUAUGUAACGUGAUUAAUCUCCCAAAGAGAUGUAUUGAUUAUACAGUGCCUACUGUAUCUGUAGUGUUUUCAUUCACAAUGUGUCCAGAAUACCAAGGGUACAUUGCAAAAACUUUGUCCCAUUGCAUUUAAGAGUCUUACCUGGUUUAUGUUAAACUACCAAGAAUUCUUAUCUUAAUUGAAAUUGAUCCCUGUACACAUGCAGUUUUCUUCAGCAAGUGUUGAGUGCUGAAAAGCAGUGCUGUCAAAUAAGAUAUACAGAGUCUCAGGAAAGAUGCCCGAAAGAAACUCUUUAUUCCGAAGUCUAUGAAGUUAAUUCUAUGAACUUGCACAGAUUCUGCAACAACAAAAAAAGAUGAUUCCACAAAACUUACAUCAUUUUUUCAUGUUUUUUAAUUAAUUGAAAACUGUAAUUUUGAAUGCUGAUGUCUUUCCAACCUUUUUUUGCUUUGUAUAAAAAGAUUAAAACAUUCUGAGAGCAUUUAUUCACUUAUAAACAUGAAGGUACUAAAACUGAUUUGUCUUUUAUUAGUAGUAUUCCUUCUCUUGACAUUUUGGGACACACACUUUUCGAGGAAAGCACCAAAGGUAUAUAUUCAUAAGUUAAGGUGAGAUAAUUAUUUUAAGUUUGCAUUCAUCACAGAUUAAUUCUAAAGUAAACAAAGACAUUUCAGAAUCCAUCUGUCAAAAUCAACUCUUGGUUAUUCUUUUUAGCAAUGGACAACAGGAUGUAAUCAUUGAUUUUAUUUUUUAUGUUUUCAUUUUCAAUUUCUUUUGUAAUUUGUCUUGUUCUAGAUUAAUUACGAGUAUUUUACCUCUUUUGUAAUAAUAAGGAAAAAAUGGAUUUUGCAAUGACAGUGCUACUAAAUGUUAUUAAACUGUUUUAUAGUAAAAUAAUAGCCAUCCCCUGUCUUGAUAUCUUUACACACUCGAGUCACAGCGCAUAAGGCAUAUAAACUGAAAAGUGACAGCAAGAGGAAUAAGGACCAUAGGGGAAACAUACUGCAGAAGUCCUAGCAUGACAUUGGAUUUAAAGCAACAAUUUAAAGAAGAUCACUCCUAAACAGCCAAAUUCAGGAGAAACACAUAUUCAAAUAAAAUGCAGAGAGUAAUCAACAAUACCUUGGCAACACAAAUUUCUUCAUUAAACCUUAACUCAUAAGGAUCACAGAGGCUGUACGGUUUCUAACAGCGAAAUAGAUCUCAAAACAUCUGAAGUCAUGUGUCCAGCAAAUCCUGUCUUAGGUCAUGACAUGUUAAAAGGAAUCUAGUGCAAUCACCGAUCAAGUCUGAAUCUCUUCUUUAGGCUGCAAAUGUCAUUCACAUGCCCUUAUCAGUUCUCCGUCCAACGGAUUCAGAAUAGAUAGCUGGGCUGGAAAAGUGAUAAGGAGAUGUGAACAACUGUGGAUGCCAGCAGGUUGUCAUUAAAAAAGCAAAACCCAUCAUACUCCAACCUGCACAGGAGUGGUCAGUAGACACCUCCUCAUGGGUCUGUCAAGGGCAGCGGCAGGCAGAUUCAUGAGAGAGAGAGACAAAGAACAAAUUCAGCCUAAUUAGACAAGUCAUCCAGGGUAGCGAUCUUCUUGAGCUGACUCCAAAUAUAAACAAGAAAACAGCACGACAA